AAUUAAUUUAUUAUUAUUUUAUUUUAAAAAGUUAUUUUAUAUUAAAAAAAGAAAUUUUAUUUUUAUUAUUAUAAAGAAAAAAUUUAUAUUAUUAUAGAUAAAAGUAUUGUGAAAGAAUUAAUUUAAUUAAAAAAAAGAAAAAUUAAAAUUUUGUACCUUGUGUAUCAGGGUUAAUUAAAUAAAAAAUUUUUAUAUAAUUUUUCUCGAAUUUAAAAGAGUCAAUUAUUUAUUUAUUUAAUUGUAAAAUAAAUUUUUAAAAUAAAUAAUUGGUAAUGAAAUGUUAUUCGUUUUUAAAUAUAUCUAGUUUUAAAAGAAAAAAAUUUAAUUUUAUUAUUAAUAAGUAAAAAUUUAAAUUUUAAAUUUUUUUAUUAUUAAUAUUUUAUUUUAUUAGGGAUAAGCUUAAUAAAAUAUUUUUAUAAUUUAUUAUAGGUAUUUUAUAAUUUUUAAGAUUAAAAAUUUCUAUUUAUAGUAGUUUGUUAUAAUUAGUUAUAAAUUAAAUAAUAUUUAUAUAAAAUUUAAUUAGUUUAUUUUAAUAUAUUUUUUAAUUUAAAAAAAUUAGAAAUAAUGAUUAAAUUAGUAUAAAAAUUUUUAUAAUUAAUUUUGUUGUAAAAGGUUAAUUUAAGGAAUUCGGCAAAUUUAUUUUUCACCUGUUUAUUAAAAACAUGUCUUUUUGAAAAUAAUUUAAAGUCUAAUCUGCCCACUGAGUUUUUAAAUGGCCGCGGUAUUUUGACCGUGCAAAGGUAGCAUAAUCAUUAGUUUUUUAAUUGAAAGCUGGUAUGAAUGAUUGGAUGAGAAAAUAGCUGUCUCAAGUUAAUUUAAAUAGAAUUUUAUUUUUAAGUUAAAAAGCUUAAAUUAAAUUUAAAGACGAGAAGACCCUAUAGAGUUUAAUAAAUAAGAUUAUUAAAUUUUUUAGUUUUUAGUAUUUAAAUUUAUAUUAUUUAUUUUGUUGGGGUGAUAGAGAAAUUUAAUUAACUUUUUUUAUAUUUUUACAUUAAUAAAUGAUUUUAUGAUCCAUAAUUUAUGAUUAUAAGAUAAAAUUACCUUAGGGAUAACAGCGUAAUUUUUUUUAAGAGUUCUAAUCGAAAAAAAAGAUUGCGACCUCGAUGUUGGAUUAAAAUAAAUUUUUGGUGUAGUAGCUAAAAUAUUAGGUCUGUUCGACCUUUGAAAUUUUACAUGAUCUGAGUUUAAACCGGUGUGAGCCAGGUUGGUUUCUAUCUUUAAUAAAAUUAUAUAUUUUAGUACGAAAGGACCAAAUAUUUGUUAUAAUAAUUUUAUUAUGAAUAAUAUU
rnacentral:rRNA from 1 species